CUCCUGGGAAGUCCUCGUGUUGCACCGC
rnacentral:rRNA from 1 species